GGGCCCUUAGCUCAGUGGAUCAGAGCAUCUGACUUCGGAUCAGAGGGUCGUAGGUUCGAAUCCUACAGGGCCCA
rnacentral:tRNA from 1 species